GUUGCAUAUAUAUGGAGUAUGUAUAUGUAAUCAUGUGUCGUGACGCCACGUGUCCGCCGUUGAGUAGGGAACCUGUUGUUAAAAAUUUUAAUCCCACCCCUGACGGUGACUAUUACUUUUCACCUUUU